UUAAAUUUGUUCUUAAAUUACAGCACCUUUUGCACCAGAAUUGUAUAGUGUACACUAAUUACUGAUCCUGACUUACUGCUUUAGUGCGCCUCAUUCCCCUGUAGCUGUGUCUACUUCCACAUAACCAUGCCCUUUUCCACCCCUGUGCUAUGCAUAUGCAAAGUGUGUUUUAAUUCCCAGCAACCCCUCAGCACGUGCAGUUUCAGUUCUGAAUUCUACCCCAAGGAACAAGGGGCUGUGCUCUGCAGAGCUAGUGAAGGCGUGAAACACAAACCCUCCGCUGCUACCAAAGCAUUAUCAGGCACACAGAAUUCAACAGGAAUAUGCACAGAAUAGAUAUAUGUAUUUUUUUCUUCCAAGCAGUGCAAUAAAAGCGGAUUAUUUAACAGAAAAAAAUACCAUAAUACUGUUUUGUGGAGGAAAACAGGUAGUCUUCAAUUUAAAUGCAUUUCCAAUUCUUGUAGCCGGCUUAUAGAUGUAGGUGGGGGAGCUUAAAACAUUUAAUGGAACUUUCUGAUGAUUUUCCUAGCUAAUAUCUAAGGAGAAGCAAAGUGAAUUUUAGAAUCUUAUGCUGCAUUUUUUUAAAGCUGUUCACAGAUGUAAUUUUGAAGUAUGAAAAUACAUUAUUAAUUCUGUUAAUUGCGUGAAAUGUUGUCUGUUAAAGUAAUUGGGGAGUAAAUUGUUUUAGCUGGAAGUCAAUGUCAUGCAGCCAAACCACCAGAUUCUAGAGGCAAAUAUCAAAAUCCAAUUUAAAGAGCAAUGGCUUGUGUCACAUCAAAUCAUAUUCACAUAAGCAGGAAUAAGAGGUUUUAAGCUGCUCAUAUAUUUUGUAUCGUAAGAAACUACCUGAUGGUGCAGAGGAAGAGAGUGUGGAUUUACAGAGGAUGAUGACAAAAUGUCUGCUCUAGCCCCAGUCCUCCACAUAUUCUAAAGUCUGAAUUUGUUCCAAAUUCCCAGUCCUAUCUAAUUUAUCUCUUGCUGCUCAGUAGAUGAGCGUUGUCAUGCGGCAAGUCCACAGGAGUCACUGCAGUUUCACCAGGGAUCACUUUCUCCCAUUAAGUGUCAGCGUUGUUGGUUACCAGACACAGGAAUGAAUACAGGGGCGCACGCUACAGACCUGAGACAUCAUCUGCUCUGCAACGCAUGUUUAUUUCUGGCAAGCUGUGACACAGCCUGAGCUAUGUGUAUUUCAUGCAUACAGGUGGAUGGAGUGAACGUUCAUGAGGGCAUAGGCAAUAGUGUCUAUUUUGCUAGAGCUAUCCUCUGAAAUUCCUUGUGUUUUCUUCUUAAAAAAAAAAAAAAUGCAUUAGAGUUGUUUUCCUUUUCAAUGGUCGCUGACAGUGCACCGCGCGUUAAGCACAAAGGGACGAGAGCUCUGUGUUGUCAGCCAAAACCUGAACUGAUGGAAAUCAAUAUUCAGCAGAUCAACAUCUGUUUACAUCAGCUGAGAAUUGAGAGCAACACUGUAAAAUUGGAUUGACUGGGACAGUGGGGUGAGCUCAGCCCCCCGGUAGAAUCCUGUAAUACAAUUUCUUGUGUAACUGCUAACAUAUAAUCUUACAGAUGAUCAAGAAUAGCUCAUUCACGUCCAGUGAAGUCUUUCUUUAUUUGGCCCAGACCCUGAGCUCCAUGAGGAACCACCUUCCAA